UACGCAGGGGGCUAGCGUUGCUCGGAAUGACUGGGCGUAAAGGGCGCGUAGGCGGCUUACAUAGUCAGGCGUGAAAUUCCUGGGCUCAACCUGGGGGCUGCGUUUGAUACGUGUAGGCUUGAGUUCGGAAGAGGGUCGUGGAAUUCCCAGUGUAGAGGUGAAAUUCGUAGAUAUUGGGAAGAACACCGGUGGCGAAGGCGGCGACCUGGUCCGAAACUGACGCUGAGGCGCGAAAGCGUGGGGAGCAAACAGG
rnacentral:rRNA from 1 species